CAGCCGCCGGCGGGAAUACGAAGGGGGCUAGCGUUGUUCGGAAUCACUGGGCGUAAAGGGUGCGUAGGCGGAUUCUUAAGUCAGGGGUGAAAUCCCGAGGCUCAACCUCGGAACUGCCUUUGAUACUGGGGAUCUUGAGUCCGGAAGAGGUGAGUGGAACUGCGAGUGUAGAGGUGAAAUUCGUAGAUAUUCGCAAGAACACCGGUGGCGAAGGCGGCUCACUGGUCCGGAACUGACGCUGAGGCACGACAGCGUGGGGAGCAAACAGGAUUAGAUACCCGCGUAGUCCCUGUCUCUUAUA
rnacentral:rRNA from 1 species